rnacentral:lncRNA from 1 species
UGCCCCCUUUGUUUCUUGCAUGCGUGAAGAGUGGAGGGGCGUUAAUAGUUGGCACCCCAUCCUUCUGAGAUUCUCUCUCUUUAAGACAACUAUCCAAAUAUGAUUUGAAUAGAUAUCUUAUCAAGAAAACAUUCUAAUCUAAUUAGAAUGGGGCAUGGAAUAUUUUUUUGUGUGAUAAAAAAAUAGAAAAAGGUGGGGCGUGUGCAAGGUUAGUGCGUGAGAUAAGUUUCUUCUUCCCUCUCUUAUCUCAAUUAAUCUUAUCCCUUCUUUUUGAU